UCUCUCUCGCUCUCGCUCUCGCUCUCGCUCUCUCGUCUCUAAGAAAUAAUUAAAAAUAUUGUAAGCAUUUGAAGCUCAAUUUUCUUGAGGUCACAGUGCUUUUUUGUAGGAUACAUGCUUUUCUAAGAGAGAAAAUACCAAUUAUUCACUUAUCAUUAGGAAGGAACAUUAGUAAAGCUUUUUUCCCCCCCUAUGUAAAGCAUAUAAAUAUUCUUAAAGAGCUGUUACUAAAAAUCAGUUCUAUGCUUCUGCAGGAAUAAGUGUGUCCUCAUACUUAAUUAGAAUUUAGAAUUGAAAGUUGAAUCUUAACCUAAGAUUUUUUUUUAGAUACUGCUUGAGUAAGAUAGGCAAAGAAAAUUUUAACUUGAAUGCCAGAUUUUUAUGUAUUUGCCCUUAAGUAUAUUUUAUAUUGUUACCACUGAAGAAAUCACUAAUGGAAAUCUUUUAAUUGAAUUUAAAGAGGUAAACUCCUUUUAUAUAUUUAUAUUUAAAAAUGAGUAGCAUUGUCUAUAUCACCUUUCCAAGGAAAGAUGUACGUUUAUGGGAUAUAUUAUAUAAAAAUUAAAUACUAUCUCAUGUAAUAGUAUGAAUGGGGUGAAGGUUGAUCUCUUCAAAUACAUCAUUAAACUUGUCUUCCAUAAAUAAGUUCUUAAAUCUGUCUUUAGGAUAGAGUUUUUGACAUAAGAAAUGAAAUAGAUUCUUUUUCUUUUCUGAAUCUAAUCUGUUUUCUUUUAUCGGCCGGACACAUAGCUUGUCCUAAUUACUUUUUCUCUCAUCAACUGAAACUAUUCAUUCCAAGUAAGUGACCAGUCUUAAGCAUUUUUAUCACUCUCUCAAUCAAUACCAAUUCUUGUUAUUCUUUUGCCUAAUUCAUUUAUCAUAUAUAUUCAACAUUUGAUUUGUUUUAAACUUGACAACAUGUAUAACAGUGUUUU